AAGUGAGCUAAACCCAAAGAUGAUCUCGAGCUACAGGCCCCGGGACAUGUAGUGUAGCCCGCCGCCUCCGAGAAGCCCCCGGGAUUUCUAGGGGUUGAAAAGUCGGAGACGAGAGGAGCUGGAGGAGGACCUAUUAAGAAAGGAGCAGGCCAGAGGGAGGAGGCUUAGGGAGGGAGACAGCCUCCAGCCCUGUUCUUCCCUUCCAGAGUAGAUGAAGAGUUCCUGCUCUCUAGGAGAUGGUUUAAGUGGAAAGAGAGGGAGGGGAAUGCGCGGAGAGGGAAGAAAGGUGAAAGGACAGAAUAAAGGAGAAAAUAGAGGGAAAAAAGAGAGAGAAGAGAGGACAGACGAGGCGAAGGAGAAAAGGGGCGAGAGAAUGGUGCAAAAGGAAGAGGAGGUGGAAGAGCUCCAGUGCCAAAAUAGCAAUUAGCAACGGGGGAAGCUGAGCCGAAGAACGAUGCCAGCGACAACGUCCGGCCGAGAAUGGGGCGGGUCCUGGCAUCCGUGGGUUUACAAAGACUGAGCGAUGCGGGCAGUCCCAAGAAAAGUUCCAGCGCUGCAGGCCCAGCAUCAAUUGGCCAAGCCUGGAUCACUAGCCCCUACCCUAGAGAUGCAACGAGGAAGUGGAUCUGCCUCCUGAGAUGGGAAAUUCUCCAGCACACAGGGAAGGGAGUUCAGAUGUUGGGCAGACACAGGAUGAAGCAAGGUAAAUGUCUACUACACCCAGCACCAAAAAAAAAAAAAUUUCUUAGAGAAAGAAAGGGACCCUAUUUGCUUUCAUCUUGAACUUCUUGUAGAAGACCAAACAAAAUAAAAUCCUGACUAGUUAGCAUUUCAAAACACCUAUGUGGAAUUGGAUGCUUAACCGGGGAAACCUUUCUCCCUUGGAGAAGGGGAGAAUAGGGGAGGGGUGACCAUCUACCCAAUGGUUACAGGUAUAUGAGGUAACAUUAAGAAUCCUAACAUUAAGAAUCCUGUCCACAAGGCACCAAAUACUUUGUGAUGAAGGAAAAUUAGAAGAGAAAGAGAAAAAGGCAGCAGAAUGAAGGGGAGAGCAGAAAAUAGCUACCUGAAAACUGACAUUUAAUAAGGACUUCCUUUAAGUCAGGCAUUAUGUCUUCUAUGGCCAUUGCUUCAUUUUAUCCAAAGUCAUUUCUUGGCUCCAAUGAGUAGAUUAAGAAACAAAUACAUACAGGUGAAGCAGUGAUGUUAGGAGAGAUAAUGUAAAAGAUAAUGAUGAAUGAUAAUUUAUGCAGUGCACUAACUCUUGCCUAGAAAUAUGGUAAGGACCCAUCAGCAUUCUAUUGGAGUGAUUGAGAGUCCAUACUUUAGAGAAAAAUUGCCUAUGUUCAAAUUUCAGCCCUACCAACUACCAGUUGUGUGACCCUUCAAUAAAUCACU
rnacentral:lncRNA from 1 species